rnacentral:rRNA from 1 species
UACGUAGGGGGCAAGCGUUGUCCGGAAUCAUUGGGCGUAAAGAGCGUGUAGGCGGCUCAAAAAGUCUGGUGUGAAAUCCUGCGGCUCAACCGCAGACGGUCACUGGAUACUCUUGAGCUUGAGUCCGGAAGAGGAGAGUGGAAUUCCUGGUGUAGCGGUGGAAUGCGCAGAUAUCAGGAGGAACACCAAUGGCGAAGGCAGCUCUCUGGUACGUGACUGACGCUGAGACGCGAAAGCGUGGGGAGCGAACAGG